ensembl:snoRNA
GUUGAGGUCUGUCCCGAUGGGGCUUUUCCCAUAGACCUACGUCAUUUGCAACUCCUCAUAGAGUAACUAUGUGGUUUCCAUUACUCACAGAACUACAUGUUAGAUCUGUGGAAAGAAUUACAAGACAGAG